CUCGUAGGUGGCCAACUAAGUCAGACGUGAAAUCCCUCAGCUUAACUGGGGAACUGCGUCUGAUACUGGAUGGCUUGAGUUUGGGAGAGGGAUGCGGAAUUCCAGGUGUAGCGGUGAAAUGCGUAGAUAUCUGGAGGAACACCGGUGGCGAAGGCGGCAUCCUGGACCAAUACUGACACUGAGGAGAAGCCACGGGAGGGACAAACGGGA
rnacentral:rRNA from 1 species